CGGCCUUUGUCCGCCCCGGCCCUGCCGGGUAGAAGCGGGGUGACCGCAGAGUGUAGCAGCCUCCGGGGCCGAGCAGGGAUUUUCGGGACGAGGAAUGUCCUGCAGAGGUGGAAAGCCUGUUCCUGAUGUUGGAGAAGAUCUGUAGUACUUGAUGAAUGUUUUCCUUGAUCACCAGCCUGGCCUGAAGCAGAUCAAGGUAUUCCUUAAUAAAGGCAAUAUACACCAAAGUCACUCUUAGUUCUCGCAUGGUGUAUGCUGCUGUACAGGUCUCAUACGUGUGAUGGAUGCCCGUACGGUAACAAUUCUCUCUCUUCAAAAAUAGAGGAUGUGAGAAGAGAAAGGCAAGUCAGAAAAGUGUCAGAAGUCAUGUGUGUGGGUGAAGUGUUGCUAGUUCCUGGCCUUGCAUGAAGCACUGCAUGGAGUCCUGUCCCCAAAACUGCCUAGAGCUGUGCCUGGCAGCAGGGUCAGAGGGAUGCGUCUUUAGUGCAAGGUCACACAGUGACAAA